GCAUAAUCAGUAGUCUUUUAAUUGAAGGCUUGUAUGAAUGGUUGGACGAAAUAUUAACUGUUUCAUUUAAAAUUUUUAUAGAACUUUAUUUUUUAGUCAAAAAGCUAAAAUAAUAUUAAAAGACGAGAAGACCCUAUAAAUCUUAAUACCUUUAUUAUUUUAAUCAUAUAGAUUUAUUAGGUUAUAAUUUUUACAGGUAUUUUAUUGGGGUGAUAUUAAAAUUUAAUAAACUUUUAAUUUUUAAAUAACAUUAAUUUAUGAAUAAUUGAUCCAUUAAUAAUGAUUAAAAAUUUAAGUUACUUUAGGGAUAACAGCGUAAUUUUUUUGGAGAGUUCAUAUUGAUAAAAAAGAUUGCGACCUCGAUGUUGGAUUAA
rnacentral:rRNA from 1 species